AUGUGGCAGUCAAAACAUAUAUAUACAUCUCUUUUUAGGACAAAUUUACAAUGGCGAAUUUUUAAAAAGUAACAAAAGAAAGUUUAAGCACAACUUCAAUAUCUUCCCAAAGUUGAUCCUGACGAGCACUCAAAUGAAACCGCAGUUAUCCUGAAAAAUGUUUAUCAUAGUUUGAUGAGUUUGGCUACUCAGUAAGUGAUCAUCAUAAUCCUAAAAAUAAUCAUGAUUGAAAGAUAUCAAUAUUUUCCAAAAUGAGAUCUAUUAACAGAAAUGCAUCAACAGUUUCACUUUCAAUAAAUGCAUAAUUAAG
rnacentral:lncRNA from 1 species